rnacentral:lncRNA from 1 species
UGUUGCUAGAACCUAGAUCCCCACUCCCCGCACCCCUCAUUCCCACCGCGUCCAGGUGGCUUUCCCAGCGGGGUACCAUGUACUCUGCCCGCUCCAGAGGAACCGAAGGGGUUUCAUUCCAUUCUCCUUUGGUUGAAACAUUUCAAACAUUUGAGCAGCUUGGCGGUAACUGACGACCUGUGAGCUUUUAGCUGCAAACUGCAACUACGCGGCAAACAAUUUAUUUAGCCCGACAUCUAGCCGGUCUCCGGCAGGACCCUGCACCGCGUCGGGAUCGGACCCUUCCGCUGGGGCGGCCUCCUGCGUCAAGGCCAGCAGGAACCUUCCUGUCGCCCUCCCCGGCCGCCGCUUCGCCUCCUUCCCGCCCCCGGAGGUUGUGCAGGCGCUAUGGUCCGCCUGGAGGGAGAAAGCCGGCGGCCGGUUCCUGAGCCGAGAGCGGCCGCGGAAAAAUCCUCUGCCUCCGCUGGAAAUCGAUAUUAGGCCGGCGCGGGCGCGGGACGUCGGGGCCGCAGCCAGUAGGUUGUGCACGUCUCAUCAUUUAGCUAAUCGAGUCGAAAAGUUUCUGUAAGGGCCGGACCCAGCAUCAGAUGGUAACACUGAUUGAACAAGAGAUUAGCACAAUAGAUCUCUAACCGAGGGGAAGCGUUGCUUUUCACGCUACGCGCCGUAAUUAAUGGUAUGAAUCAAUUAAUUUGACUUUUAUUGUGUCGAAGGAAAAAAGCGCAACAAAUGGAACCGGCAGCUGGGAGUUGUUCGUCCUCCACCCCCUUCCCCAGGGAGGUUCCAAGGAGACACCGGGGAAUGGACGGAUCAGGCUGGGCCGUGGCAGAGGGAGGGUAGGAGGCAGCGACCAGCAGCGUGGAGGGAGUCCAGAGAGCUAGCCUCUGCGGACGGCGGAAUCGAAAUUAGGCUCAUUUGGAGACUACUUCGAGACCGGUGAGGGGAGCCCUGUAGCCACCAUCCUCCGGCGCGCAUCCACACAUACUAGUCCACGCGGGCCCAGCCACCAAGGCCGCGGCAGGGCCAGCGCUGCGCCCCGGGCCCCUGCCUUUAGGGCUGGGCAACCCAAGCAGAGCAAAGGAGGUUCCUGAAUGUGUAAAUUUCCGCUUUUUAGCUUUUUUUUUUUUUUUUUUUGGACCUUCCGACACUUCGGUUGCUGAGGCAGUUGCAGACGCGACCUCUGCAGUCCUGGGCGAUGGCCAGCCAGCUCAGCUCGGGUCGGUUUCGCGGAAAGCUGUCUAGACGGCAUUGUAAACGGUUCGGAGCCUGCGGGCCACAAAGCUGUGGAGCUACGGAAAUCAACUCUGAGAUGCGUUUUAGGGCCGUGUGCAACCUCGGGAUCAUUUAGAUAAAGAAAAACUGUGGAGGUUGGCGGGCGUCUCAGGAUAGUGUCACCACCCCCUACCCUGCUCCCAGCCUCAGAUGAGUAGUGUUAUAUCCUGGGAAACUGUCUAAUGGGGAUGAAAGUCAAUCUGUGUGUCUCAAUGCCUGUAAUGAAGCAAGUUUACAGAUUUUUAAAUUUUUAUUUUUAUUUUAUUGAAUUAUUUUUGGUGUGUCUAGGCCAAGGAAAG